rnacentral:snoRNA from 1 species
AAGAUACCCAGUUUAUCUGCUUAUCUGGGUGUGUUCCUGCAGAAUUUAUAAACAGCUGACAAUAGUGAUGCUAUUUUAUGAGCUAUAAGGACAAAUGAGGUCAUUAAGGUCCCUCAAAAUAGCUACAAAC